rnacentral:tRNA from 1 species
UUCCUGGUGGUCCAGUGGCUAAGACUCUGUGCUUCCAAUGCAAGGGGCCAAGGUUUGAUCCCUGGUCAGGGAA